rnacentral:rRNA from 1 species
UUUAUUGGAGAGUUUGAUCCUGGCUCAGGAUGAACGCUGGCGGCGUGCCUAAUACAUGCAAGUCGAGCGAAUGGAUUAAG